GAUGAACGCUGGCGGCGUGCCUAAUACAUGCAAGUCGAGCGAAGCGGGGACGGGGGAGUGACACGUGGAUAACCUCCUAUAAGACUGGGAUAAAUUCCGGAAACCGGAGCUAAACCGGAAACUUAUAUCUGGAGCGGCGCGGCAGUAGCUAGUUGGUAAGGUAACGGCUUACCAAGUCAACGAUGCCUAGCCGACCUGAGAGGGUGAUCGGCCACACUGGAACUGAGACACGGUCCAGACUCCUACGGGAGGCAGCAGUGGGGAAUCUUCCGCAAUGGGCGAAAGCCUGACGGAGCAACGCCGCGUGAGUGAUGAAGGUCUUAGGAUCGUAAAACUCUUUUAUUAGGGAAGCGGUACCUAAUCAGAAAGCCACGGCUAACUACGUGCCAGCAGCCGCGGUAAUUC
rnacentral:rRNA from 1 species